rnacentral:rRNA from 1 species
AACGAACGCUGGCGGCGUGCCUAACACAUGCAAGUCGAACGAGAAAGGGGCUUCGGCUCCGAGUAAAGUGGCGCACGGGUGAGUAACACGUGGGUAACCUGCCUCUAAGAUUGGGAUAACUCGUCGAAAGAUGAGCUAAUACCGAAUAAGACCACAGUUCCCGCGGGAACAGGGGUCAAAGGUAGCCUCUGCUUGCAAGCUAUCACUUAGAGAUGGGCCUGCGCACCAUUAGCUAGUUGGUAGGGUAACGGCCUACCAAGGCAAAGAUGGUUAGCUGGUCUGAGAGGAUGAUCAGCCACACUGGAACUGAGACACGGUCCAGACUCCUACGGGAGGCGGCAGUGGGGAAUAUUGCGCAAUGGGCGAAAGCUUGACGCAGCAACGCCGCGUGAGUGAUGAAGGCCUUCGGGUCGUAAAGCUCUGUCGGGAGGAACGAAUGCUCCUGAGGUUAACAGCCUCGGGAGGUGACGGUACCUUCAAAGGAAGCACCGGCUAACUCUGUG